UCUGGUCCAACAUACGCUGGCAGUUUCUAAUGGAUUCUAGGUUAAGAAGUUGAGCUCUUUUUGGAAUUUCCAGCUGUUUCUAUUUAGAAUAGUUUUUUAACUUUCAUCCCAUUCUUUCCUAAAAUAAAGGAUUGACCUAUCACAGAGCUUAUUCAGAUUAUGCCAAAGACAUAUCAGUUUUAAUUUAAUGUUGUAUAUCUUCUCUUCCAAGUUGUAAAACAAGAUUGAAUGUAAGGCAAAUAAGAUAAAUAAGAGUUUUGAUACCAGUAAGACUACCAGAGAUCAACUGGAAAUUUUCAGCUCAUUUUCUGAUUCUUUCUUUCUUUUGCCAUGUGUUCGAAGAAAUCUUUAAUGUUUCUGGAUAACAUGUUUUUCUUCUACAGGUCUCCUGCAAGCGCAAAAUCUUCUAACGCAACUACCUCAGCAAAGCCAAGCCAACCUCCUACAGUCGCAGCCAAGCAUCACCCUCACCUCCCAGCCAGCAACCCCAACACGCACAAUAGCAGCA
rnacentral:lncRNA from 1 species